rnacentral:rRNA from 1 species
CAGUAGCCGCGGUAAUACGUAGGGUGCGAGCGUUAAUCGGAAUUACUGGGCGUAAAGCGUGCGCAGGCGGUUAUAUAAGACAGAUGUGAAAUCCCCGGGCUCAACCUGGGACCUGCAUUUGUGACUGUAUAGCUAGAGUACGGUAGAGGGGGAUGGAAUUCCGCGUGUAGCAGUGAAAUGCGUAGAUAUGCGGAGGAACACCGAUGGCGAGGGCAAUCCCCUGGACCUGUACUGACGCUCAUGCACGAAAGCGUGUGGAGCAAACAGGAUUAGAUACCCCUGUAGUCCCUGUCUCUUAUAA